rnacentral:rRNA from 1 species
GGCGGCGUGCUUAACACAUGCAAGUCGAACGAUGAACCACUUCGGUGGGGAUUAGUGGCGAACGGGUGAGUAACACGUGGGCAAUCUGCCCUGCACUCUGGGACAAGCCCUGGAAACGGGGUCUAAUACCGGAUACUGACCUCGCAGGCAUCUGCGAGGUUCGAAAGCUCCGGCGGUGCAGGAUGAGCCCGCGGCCUAUCAGCUUGUUGGUGAGGUAAUGGCUCACCAAGGCGACGACGGGUAGCCGGCCUGAGAGGGCGACCGGCCACACUGGGACUGAGACACGGCCCAGACUCCUACGGGAGGCAGCAGUGGGGAAUAUUGCACAAUGGGCGAAAGCCUGAUGCAGCGACGCCGCGUGAGGGAUGACGGCCUUCGGGUUGUAAACCUCUUUCAGCAGGGAAGAAGCGAAAGUGACGGUACCUGCAGAAGAAGCGCCGGCUAACUACGUGCCAGCAGCCGCGGUAAUACGUAGGGCGCAAGCGUUGUCCGGAAUUAUUGGGCGUAAAGAGCUCGUAGGCGGCUUGUCACGUCGGUUGUGAAACCGCGGGGCUUAACCCCGGGUCUGCAGUCGAUACGGGCAGGCUAGAGUUCGGUAGGGGAGAUCGGAAUUCCUGGUGUAGCGGUGAAAUGCGCAGAUAUCAGGAGGAACACCGGUGGCGAAGGCGGAUCUCUGGGCCGAUACUGACGCUGAGGAGCGAAAGCGUGGGGAGCGAACAGGAUUAGAUACCCUGGUAGUCCACGCCGUAAACGGUGGGCACUAGGUGUGGGCAACAUUCCACGUUGUCCGUGCCGCAGCUAACGCAUUAAGUGCCCCGCCUGGGGAGUACGGCCGC